rnacentral:lncRNA from 1 species
CCGAAACCCGGCGGCGGCGGCGCCGGCGCCUCGGCCGGCUCCUCUUCCUCCCUGUCGUCGUCCUCCUCCUCCUCGUCGUCGCGCGGCGCCUCCUCCUCGGAGAUGCGCGAGGCGAUCUGCAUCUCGAAGAUGGUGUCCUCGCAGAAGUUGACGAAGAGCUCCAUCUUCUCGGCCUCGCCGCCCUCGUUGACCACGUCGAAGAUGAACUGCCGCUUGGACUCCUUGACCUGCGGCAUCUCCCACUGCGCCUUGUUGGCGCCGCUGAUCUCGAAGUAGAUGCGCUCGAUGCGCCGCGCCGCCCCCAUGAUCUCGAUGCGGCCCAGGAACGGUCGGAAGUAGUCCAGGAUGCUCUCGGCCUGCUCCAGGAAGGUCUUGAGGCGCUGGUCGUGCGGCACGUGCUCCGACAGGUUGGUCAGCAGCACGGCCACGUUGAAGCCGAUGUCACGCGCCGGCUCCUGGAAGCGCUGGGCGAAGCUCUCCACGUCGAUCAUCUCGUUCUCGUCGGCCUCGGAGCAGGAGAGCAGGAACUGGAUCUCGUCGGGCUCGUACUGCUUCUGGCUGUCCAUGGCCUUCUGGAAGUCCUUCUUGGAGAUGAGCCCGCGCGGGUCGGUGACGAAGUGGCGGAAGGCGUCGGACGAGACGAUGUCGCGCAGCUUCAGGAACAUGUCGAAGAACUUGAGGAUCAUGGUCCAGCAGCUCCUUCAGCAGCCCCAGCUGGGACGAGUCCUGCGCACCAGAGCUCCCAGUUAGCUCCCAGUUACCUCCCAGUACCUCCCAGUACCUCCCAGUUACCUCCCAGUACCUCCCAGUACCUCCCAGCGCCCAACCAGCGCCCACCUGGGCCAACUUCUUCAUCAUGUGCGCGAAGACGUGCAGGAAGCCGACGACGGCGUCCCAGAGGCGGCUGUGGGCCAGGCUCUGCUGGUUCCCGGUACAGGGGCCCUGGGGGACACCGGAACACUGGGAGGGACCCCCGAGAGCCCCCCGGGGCAGGUUUGGG